rnacentral:rRNA from 1 species
GAUGAACGCUGGCGGCGUGCUUAACACAUGCAAGUCGAACGAAGCACUUAAGAUUGAUUCUUCGGAUGACGUCUUUUGUGACUUAGUGGCGGACGGGUGAGUAACGCGUGGGUAACCUGCCUCACACAGGGGGAUAACAGUUAGAAAUGACUGCUAAUACCGCAUAACCCGAUAGGAUCGCAUGAUCCAGACGGAAAAGAUUUAUCGGUGUGAGAUGGACCCGCGUCUGAUUAGCUAGUUGGGGAGGUAACGGCCCACCAAGGCGACGAUCAGUAGCCGGCCUGAGAGGGUGAACGGCCACAUUGGGACUGAGACACGGCCCAAACUCCUACGGGAGGCAGCAGUGGGGAAUAUUGCACAAUGGGGGAAACCCUGAUGCAGCGACGCCGCGUGAGUGAAGAAGUAUUUCGGUAUGUAAAGCUCUAUCAGCAGGGAAGAAAAUGACGGUACCUGACGAAGAAGCCCCGGCUAACUACGUG